AGAAGAUAAACGUAAGGACGGUGCCGUGCGAUUCGGGUUUUAUCGAAGCAGGUUCUUCAUGACUAAAAUGAGGUACCUAAUUUUUGUUUCGGUGAUAUGCAGCCAUUACUUUUACUUUUGAGGAGCACACAAGUCAUACUGUCAGUAAUAUUGAUUGUGUGAGGGCCGGCUUAGGCUGAAUUGCAUCUACCAGAAGUUUAUACGAAAACGUAUGAAAUAAUUGUUGAGUCAAAUUUCAUGCAUUGUCUGGAACCAUGGUUACUUAAUAAAUAAUUUGUUGUUAUAAA